rnacentral:rRNA from 1 species
AGUGAACGCUGGCGGUAGGCCUAACACAUGCAAGUCGAACGGCAGCACAGUAAGAGCUUGCUCUUACGGGUGGCGAGUGGCGGACGGGUGAGGAAUACAUCGGAAUCUACUUUUUCGUGGGGGAUAACGUAGGGAAACUUACGCUAAUACCGCAUACGACCUACGGGUGAAAGCAGGGGAUCUUCGGACCUUGCGCGAUUGAAUGAGCCGAUGUCGGAUUAGCUAGUUGGCGGGGUAAAGGCACACCAAGGCGACGAUCCGUAGCUGGUCUGAGAGGAUGAUCAGCCACACUUGAACUGAGACACGGUCCAGACUCCUACGGGAGGCAGCAGUGGGGAAUAUUGGACAAUGGGCGCAAGCAUGAUCCAGCCAUACCGCGUGGGUGAAGAAGGCCUUCGGGUUGUAAAGCCCUUUUGUUGGGAAAGAAAAGCAGCAGGUUAAUACCCCGCUGUUCUGACGGUACCCAAAGAAUAAGCACCGGCUAACUUCGUG